rnacentral:lncRNA from 10 species
ACUGGGCUUCCAGCUUCCAAGCCUUCUACCUGUGGAAUGCUUGGUCCAAUGUCUGGGGCACCCACUCUUACUCCAAACUCCUCCAGAUCUGCAGAGUGGCCCAGCAUAUUCUCUUCUUGAAAGGAGGUCUUUGCCUAACAGAAAUGGAAUAAAAAGGCCUACCUCAUUGGGCUCGUGUGGGUGAGGAGAACUGAAGAGUCUGAGAGCGCGGCACGAGCCAGAGGCUACGGAAAACACUGCCCUCCUACACUCCACCUUGGAGAGACCCAGAAAAGAACAAGCUUCAUUUGUAAAAAAGGAAAACAACUCAGGCAAUGGGGGUGGCUUAAAGGCACUCUACAGUGUGCAGAUGCCUUCCACUUCUUCCAUCUGCCCUGUCUCUCCAAGAACCCCUAUGGCCCCGGUCUCAGAACAGAGCUGAGUGCAGAAAUGAAAAUCUAUGGCUCUGUGUUCCAAAACGAUGAAGAAUUUCAAGAUGGUGGCAGUGGUAAAAUCUUUCUCCAGGAAAAAUCUGUCCUUGGCCCAAUGUGUAAACACUUGCUGAGGAACUUGGAAUAACUUGCAGUGUCUUGCAGUAUUGUGAAACCAGCAACUUGUUCACAAUUCUUCUGAAUUUCUUGGGAAAUUUGAAGUGGAGUACCUGUACCAACAUGAAAUGACACGAAUUUAAGUGACGCUCAACAACGAAAAGCAAAAAGAACCAAAGAGGAAGCAACUGAAACAACAUCUGGAUGUAUUUAAAAAUAUACAAUGCCUCCAAAAUCAGGUGUCAUUAAUGAAAAUUCUGAAGAAAUGCCACCGGACAUAGCCAACGCACCUACGCUGUUGUUAUUCAUUUCCUGCUUUUCACAGAAAACAAUUUUGUUGCAUGGAAGAUCGUGAACUUCAAAGGGCAGAGGGGAAACUGUCCCUUGGCCUCUACCCCUCCAAGGCCCCACUUUUUUGUCAACACUCCUUGGACGCAGCAGAAGUAUGAACAUAAUAUGGUCCUGAAUGAGGCUGAGUCUUUGGGCGCAGAAGACCCGGGUUAAUAAAAAUAGGAAGGUAAGAAAAGAAAAGAAAAAUCAAGACACAUCAUAGGACUAAAUUCCUAUUAUUUAUCCACUCAGGAUUGACCACCCCUUUGGGCCAGAUAGUUGUACCCCCAUGUACCAGGUGGGCACAUGAAGACACAAGAAGUGCUGUGAUGGUUCAUUUUGCACGUCACCUUGCGUGGAGUAUGC